rnacentral:rRNA from 1 species
CAAUAGCGUAUAUUAACGUUGUUGCAGUUAAAAAGCUCGUAGUUGGAUUUCUGGAGGGAGCGUCGGCCCGUAUUUACGAGUGCGUGACGUCUCUGUCCAUCCUUGCGGGAAGGCACGGCAUUGAUUUGUUGUGUCGGCUCGCAUCAUUUACUGUGAAAAAAUUAGAGUGUUCAAAGCAGGCUUUCGCUUGAAUACAUUAGCAUGGAAUAAUAAGAUAGGACUUUGGUGCUAUUUUGUUGGUUGAGCCUAAAGUAAUGAUUAAUAGGGAUAGUUGGGGGCACCUGUAUUGCGUUGUCAGAGGUGAAAUUCUUGGAUUUACGCAAGACAAACAGCUGCGAAAGCGUCUGCCAAGGAUGUUUUCAUUAA